rnacentral:rRNA from 1 species
AACGAACGCUGGCGGCAUGCCUAACACAUGCAAGUCGAACGAAGGCUUCGGCCUUAGUGGCGCACGGGUGCGUAACGCGUGGGAAUCUGCCCCUCGGUUCGGAAUAACAGUUAGAAAUGACUGCUAAUGCCGGAUGAUGUCUUCGGACCAAAGAUUUAUCGCCCAAGGAUGAGCCCGCGUAGGAUUAGGUAGUUGGUGGGGUAAUGGCCCACCAAGCCGACGAUCCUUAACUGGUCUGAGAGGAUGAUCAGCCACACUGGGACUGAGACACGGCCCAGACUCCUACGGGAGGCAGCAGUGGGGAAUAUUGGACAAUGGGCGAAAGCCUGAUCCAGCAAUGCCGCGUGAGUGAUGAAGGCCUUAGGGUUGUAAAGCUCUUUUACCAGGGAUGAUAAUGACAGUACCUGGAGAAUAAGCUCCGGCUAACUCCGUGCCAGCAGCCGCGGUAA